AUUGAACGCUGGCGGCAGGCCUAACACAUGCAAGUCGAACGAGUGGCGGACGGGUGAGUAAUGUCUGGAAAACUGCCUGAUGGAGGGGGAUAACUACUGGAAACGGUAGCUAAUACCGCAUACCAUCAGAUGUGCCCAGAUGGGAUUAGCUAGUUGGUGGGGUAACGGCUCACCAAGGCGACGAUGCCUAGCUGGUCUGAGAGGAUGACCGGCCACACUGGAACGGAGAAACGGUGCAGACUCCUACGGGAGGCAGCAGUGGGGAAUCUUGGAAAAUGGGCGAAAGCCUGAUGCAGCCAUGCCGCGUGUAUGAAGAAGGCCUGCGGGUUGUAAAGUACGUUCAGCGGGGAGGCGUUACCCGCAGAAGAAGCACCGGCUAACUCCGUGCCAGCAGCCGCGGUAAUAC
rnacentral:rRNA from 1 species